rnacentral:rRNA from 1 species
CAGCAGCCGCGGGAAUACGUAGGGUGCAAGCGUUAAUCGGAAUUACUGGGCGUAAAGCGUGCGCAGGCGGUUUGUUAAGACAGAUGUGAAAUCCCCGGGCUUAACCUGGGAACUGCAUUUGAAACUGGCAGGCUAGAGUCUUGUAGAGGGGGGUAGAAUUCCAGGUGUAGCGGUGAAAUGCGUAGAGAUCUGGAGGAAUACCGGUGGCGAAGGCGGCCCCCUGGACAAAGACUGACGCUCAGGUGCGAAAGCGUGGGGAGCAAACAGGAUUAGAUACCCGCGUAGUCCCUGUCUCUUAUAC